GAAAUGCGAUAAGUAAUGUGAAUUGCAGAAUUCAGUGAAUCAUCGAAUCUUUGAACGCACAUUGCGCCCCCCGGCAUUCCGAGGGGCAUGCCUGUUCGAGCGUCAUAAUAGCCAAUCCAGCCCCGCUGGGUCUUGGGCUCGCCGGUAGGCGUCCCUCAAAGCCAGUGGCGGCGCCGUCCGGCUCCCGAGCGUAGUACAACCCCUCGCUACGGGACCGGGCGCGCGCCCGCCAGCAAACCCUUCUACGGUUGACCUCGGAUCAGGUAGGGAUACCCGCUGAACUUAA
rnacentral:misc_RNA from 1 species